CUGAAACCCGCCAGAUUACCAGCAUGUUGGGUGGGUUCAAAAAAACGUCCUCUCUCCCUGCCCAAAAACCUCACAUUGCUGGCUUCCUUGAAUUUUAAACUCUCAUCUGCCCAGCAUUUUGUGACAUCACCACAGGGAGGCGGGUCCAUAAAUAGAGGGGACAGAGUGGCCGGGUUUUGGUUUGGAGGGGGCAGGUUAGGGUCAUCACUAGCGUCCGACCCUGCCUGAGCCACCUGCUGCCUGCCCACAACUACUUCCAGGGGUGCUCUCUGCAUUAGAAAUUCAGCCCCUCUUCACCUUGUAGGAUCACAAAAAGGAAACAUCAUUUCAAAGAUGGUUCCCUCAUAUACAAGAAUAGAAUCCAAUCCCAGACUGAGUGCUGUUAGUAUUCCUGCAAGCUACAUAUUGUUCCAGUCAUCAGUGAUUCUACAGACACAAUGGUAAA